rnacentral:rRNA from 1 species
UGAAGCCCAGCUUGCUGGGUGGAUCAGUGGCGAACGGGUGAGUAACACGUGAGCAACCUGCCCUGGACUCUGGGAUAAGCGCUGGAAACGGCGUCUAAUACUGGAUAUGAGACGUGAUCGCAUGGUCAACGUCUGGAAAGAUUUUUCGGUCUGGGAUGGGCUCGCGGCCUAUCAGCUUGUUGGUGAGGUAAUGGCUCACCAAGGCGUCGACGGGUAGCCGGCCUGAGAGGGUGACCGGCCACACUGGGACUGAGACACGGCCCAGACUCCUACGGGAGGCAGCAGUGGGGAAUAUUGCACAAUGGGCGGAAGCCUGAUGCAGCAACGCCGCGUGAGGGAUGACGGCCUUCGGGUUGUAAACCUCUUUUAGCAAGGAAGAAGCUUUUGUGACGGUACUUGCAGAAAAAGCGCCGGCUAACUACGUGCCA